rnacentral:rRNA from 1 species
UGCUUGCAUCUCUUGAGAGCGGCGGACGGGUGAGUAUGCCUAGGAAUCUGCCUAGUGGUGGGGGAUAACGUUCGGAAACGGACGCUAAUACCGCAUACGUCCUACGGGGAGAAAGCGGGGGAUCUUCGGACCUCGNGCCAUUAGAUGAGCCUAGGUCGGAUUAGCUAGUUGGUGAGGUAAUGGCUCACCAAGGCGACGAUCCGUAACUGGUCUGAGAGGAUGAUCAGUCACACUGGAACUGAGACACGGUCCAGACUCCUACGGGAGGCAGCAGUGGGGAAUAUUGGACAAUGGGCGAAAGCCUGAUCCAGCCAUGCCGCGUGUGUGAAGAAGGUCUUCGGAUUGUAAAGCACUUUAAGUUGGGAGGAAGGGUAGUAACCUAAUACGUUGCUACUUUGACGUUACCGACAGAAUAAGCACCGGCUAACUUCGUG